rnacentral:rRNA from 1 species
UACGUAGGGGGCUAGCGUUGUCCGGAUUUAUUGGGCGUAAAGAGCGUGUAGGCGGCCAGGUAGGUCCGGUGUGAAAACUCGAGGCUUAACCUCGAGAUGUCAUCGGAAACCAUCUGGCUAGAGUCCGGAAGAGGAAAGUGGAAUUCCUGGUGUAGCGGUGAAAUGCGCAGAUAUCAGGAGGAACACCAGUGGCGAAGGCGGCUUCCUGGCCUGUUCUUGACGCUGAGGCGCGAAAGCUAGGGGAGCAAACGGG